CACUAGCCCUAUUGUCUCUAUAUCUCGUAUGCUCUGCUACCGUUGCUCAAUGUAAGCACACCAAUCAGGUUAUGCACACUUAAUUUUUCCAGUUCCCCCUGGAAGUAUGUAGUAUAGCUACUAAAACCUAUUUUUUUCAUUUGUUUCUUGUCUAAUCUUUUGUGCGUUUAUUUAUUCUUCACUAAUUUUCUUUUUCACAUAACGAUUGUUCGUUUGUUAUCCCCUAGGCCGAAUCAUAGAUGACACAGAUAGCGAGAAGAUCGAUUUACCAAAUGGGCUAUGCGUUAAGAGUAAAUGCCGUAGUACUCCAGAAGAUUGCUUCUGUUGUUUGGCAGAUAACAACUGCUACUGGACUAUGGCCGAAUGCAAGGCAGCGUGUAAAAAAUCCUCGUCUUCACAAGACAUGCUACUGGCGACGACAACCCCUCCUCCUUUACCUGCUCCUUAGUUUUCCAGCCUAGUCAAAUUGGCUUACAUAUUUACUUGUCCCAAGAGAGAAAUAAUGCCUGAUAUAUGUGUGGAAAUACAAUUGUGCAAUAAGAUCAAGUAAUACUCUAGCAAUUGUUGCUAUUUGGUUGGGCAAAUUGCGUUUAAACUUUUACCAAUUAUGCCGGCUAAGUUCUAG
rnacentral:lncRNA from 1 species